rnacentral:rRNA from 1 species
AACGAACGCUGGCGGCAUGCCUAACACAUGCAAGUCGAACGAGCGGCGGACGGGUGAGUAAUGUCUGGGAACCUGCCUGAUGGCGGGGGAUAACUACUGGAAACGGUAGCUAAUACCGCAUACCAUCAGAUGUGCCGAGAUGGGAUUAGCUAGUAGGUGGGGUAACGGCUCACCUAGGCGACGAUCCCUAGCUGGUCUGAGAGGCUGACCAGCAACACUGGAACUUAGCCACGGUCCAGACUCCUACGUGAGGCAGAAGUGGGGAAUAUUGGACAAUGGACGAAAGCCGGAUGCAGCAAUGCGCGUUGGGUGAAGAAGGUUUUCGGUUUGUAAAGCACUUUCGUCGGGGAGGCGUUAUCCGAAGAGUAAGCACCGGCUAACUCCGUGCCAGCAGCCGCGGUAAUAC